AGUGGGAUAGCUGGGUCAAAUGGUGGUUCCAUUCCAAGUUUUUCAAGGAAUCUCCAUACUGUUUUCCAUAGUGGUUGCACCAAUUUGCAGUCCCAUCAGCAAU
rnacentral:pre_miRNA from 1 species